rnacentral:rRNA from 1 species
UCUACGGGAGGCAGCAGUGGGGAAUAUUGGGCAAUGGGCGCAAGCCUGACCCAGCAACGCCGCGUGAAGGAAGAAGGCUUUCGGGUCGUAAACUUCUUUUAAGAGGGAAGAGCAGAAGACGGUACCUCUUGAAUAAGCCACGGCUAACGAGGUGAAAGCAGCCGCGGUAAUGGGUAGGUGGCAAGCGUUGUCCGGAUUUACUGGGUGUAAAGGGCGUGCAGCCCGGAAGACAAGUCAGAUGUGAAAGCCCGCGGCUCAACCGCGGUACUGCAUUUGAAACUGUUUGUCUUGAGUACCGGAGAGGUCAGCGGAAUGCCUGGUGUAGCGGUGAAAUGCGUAGAUAUAAGGAAGAACACCAGUGGCGAAGGCGGAUGACUGGACGGCAACUGACGGUGAGGCGCGAAAGCGUGGGGAGCAAACAGGAUUAGAUACCCGUGUAGUC